UACGUAGGGGGCAAGCGUUGUCCGGAUUUAUUGGGCGUAAAGAGCGUGUAGGCGGCCAGGUAGGUCAGCUGUGAAAACUCGAGGCUCAACCUCGAGACGUCGGUUGAAACCACCUGGCUAGAGUCCGGAAGAGGAGAGUGGAAUUCCUGGUGUAGCGGUGAAAUGCGCAGAUAUCAGGAGGAACACCAAUGGCGAAGGCAGCUCGCUGGGACGGUACUGACGCUAAGGCGCGAAAGCGUGGGGAGCAAACAGG
rnacentral:rRNA from 1 species